UACGUAGGGUGCAAGCGUUGUCCGGAAUUAUUGGGCGUAAAGAGCUCGUAGGCGGUUUGUCGCGUCUGCUGUGAAAACUCGGGGCUUAACUCCGGGCCUGCAGUGGGUACGGGCAGACUAGAGUGCGGUAGGGGAGACUGGAAUUCCUGGUGUAGCGGUGAAAUGCGCAGAUAUCAGGAGGAACACCGGUGGCGAAGGCGGCAUCCUGGACCAAUUCUGACGCUGAGUGAGCGAAAGCCAGGGGAGCAAACGGG
rnacentral:rRNA from 1 species